GUCAUUAUAAAGUAUGGAUAAACAAUGGGUUUGAAGAUGAAAGCAACAAGAAAUGCUAUUUUAGACAAGGACAAUAAGAUCUAUUAAACAACCAGAAAUCCUACAACAAGAACACAACAAAACUAUCAAGCUACAACAGCAGAGGUUCCAUGGUCAUUGUAAUGUACAUUACAAGAUGGCCAAAAAGCUCACAAACUUCCAAAAAGAAUGCUGCAUGUUAAUCUCAGAAUCCAACAGCCACAUUCUUGCAGCAAUCUUUGGAAUCUGUACAGAGCUAGAGGCCAUAAUUGUUGGUCCAA
rnacentral:misc_RNA from 1 species